rnacentral:rRNA from 1 species
AGUGAACGCUGGCGGCAGGCCUAACACAUGCAAGUCGAACGGCAGCACAGGAGAGCUUGCUCUCUGGGUGGCGAGUGGCGGACGGGUGAGGAAUACAUCGGAAUCUACCUUUUCGUGGGGGAUAACGUAGGGAAACUUACGCUAAUACCGCAUACGACCUAAGGGUGAAAGCGGAGGACCUUCGGGCCUCGCGCGGAAAGCUGAGCCGAGGUCGGAUUAGCUAGUUGGCGGGGUAAAGGCCCACCAAGGCGACGAUCCGUAGCUGGUCUGAGAGGAUGAUCAGCCACACUGGAACUGAGACACGGUCCAGACUCCUACGGGAGGCAGCAGUGGGGAAUAUUGGACAAUGGGCGCAAGCCUGAUCCAGCCAUGCCGCGUGGGUGAAGAAGGCCUUCGGGUUGUAAAGCCCUUUUGUUGGGAAAGAAAAGCAGCCGGUUAAUACCCGGUUGUUCUGACGGUACCCAAAGAAUAAGCACCGGCUAACUUCGUGCCAGCCGCCGCGGUAA